rnacentral:rRNA from 1 species
AUUGAACGCUGGCGGCAUGCCUUACACAUGCAAGUCGAACGGUAACAGGUUAAGCUGACGAGUGGCGAACGGGUGAGUAAUGUAUCGGAACGUGCCCAGUCGUGGGGGAUAACUUCUCGAAAGAGCAGCUAAUACCGCAUACGACCUGAGGGUGAAAGCGGGGGAUCGCAAGACCUCGCGCGAUUGGAGCGGCCGAUAUCAGAUUAGGUAGUUGGUGAGGUAAAGGCUCACCAAGCCGACGAUCUGUAGCUGGUCUGAGAGGACGACCAGCCACACUGGGACUGAGACACGGCCCAGACUCCUACGGGAGGCAGCAGUGGGGAAUUUUGGACAAUGGGCGCAAGCCUGAUCCAGCCAUGCCGCGUGCGAGAAGAAGGCCUUCGGGUUGUAAACCGCUUUUGUCAGGGAAGAAAAGGUUCUGGCUAAUACCUGGGACUCAUGACGGUACCUGAAGAAUAAGCACCGGCUAACUACGUG